rnacentral:sRNA from 1 species
GCUUUCAACAUCCCCGUUCCGGGGCGCGGUUUCCCGAACAGGCAAGCUUCGCGGCCGGAACUGAAGGC